UGAUCCUGGCGGAGGCCACUGCUAUCGGAGUUCGAUUAAGCCAUGCGAGUCGAGAGGUGCAAGACCUCGGCAUACUGCUCAGUAACACGUGGACAACCUACCCUAUGGAGGGGGAUAACCCCGGGAAACUGGGGAUAAUACCCCAUAGACUAUGAAUGCUGGAAUGCUUUGUAGUUGAAAGGUCCGCCGCCAUAGGAUGGGUCUGCGGCCGAUUAGGUUGUUGUUGGGGUAACGGCCCAACAAGCCUGUGAUCGGUACGGGUUGUGGGAGCAAGAGCCCGGAGAUGGAUUCUGAGACACGAAUCCAGGCCCUACGGGGCGCAGCAGGCGCGAAAACUUUACAAUGCGGGAAACCGUGAUAAGGGAACUCCGAGUGCCCGUAAAAUCGGGCUGUCCAUCUGUUUAAAUAACAGGUGAAGAAAGGGCCGGGCAAGACCGGUGCCAGCCGCCGCGGUAAUACCGGCGGCUCGAGUGGUGGCCACUAUUACUGGGCUUAAAGCGUUCGUAGCUGGUCUGUUAAGUCUCUGGGGAAAUCUACUGGCUUAACCAAUAGGCGUUUCAGGGAUACUGGCAGACUAGGGACCGGGAGAGGUGAGGGGUACUCCAGGGGUAGGAGUGAAAUCCUGUAAUCCUUGGGGGACCACCUGUGGCGAAGGCGCCUCACCAGAACGGCUCCGACAGUGAGGGACGAAAGCUGGGGGAGCAAACCGGAUUAGAUACCCGGGUAGUCCCAGCCGUAAACGAUGCGCGUUAGGUGUAUCGGUGACCACGAGUCACCGAGGUGCCGAAGAGAAAUCGUGAAACGUGCCGCCUGGGAAGUACGGUCGCAAGGCUGAAACUUAAAGGAAUUGGCGGGGGAGCACCACAACAGGUGGAGCCUGCGGUUUAAUCGGACUCAACGCCGGAAAUCUCACCGGAUAAGACAGCUGGAUGAUAGUCGGGCUGAAGACUCUACUUGACUAGCUGAGAGGAGGUGCAUGGCCGUCGUCAGUUCGUACUGUGAAGCAUCCUGUUAAGUCAGGCAACGAGCGAGACCCA
rnacentral:rRNA from 1 species